rnacentral:rRNA from 1 species
CCUACGGGAGGCUGCAGUAGGGAAUUUUUCACAAUGGGCGAAAGCCUGAUGGAGCAACGCCGCGUGCAGGAUGAAGGCCUUCGGGUUGUAAACUGCUUUUAUAAGCGAGAAAUAUGAUGGUAACUUAUGAAUAAGGAUCGGCUAACUACGUGCCAGCAGCCGCGGUCAUACGUAGGAUCCGAGCAUUAUCCGGAGUGACUGGGUGUAAAGAGUUGCGUAGGUGGCAUAAUAAGUAGCUAGUGAAAUCGGGUGGCUCAACCAUUCAGACUAUUAGCUAAACUGUUAAGCUCGAGACCGUUAGGGGUAACUGGAAUUUCUAGUGUAGGGGUGAAAUCCGUAGAUAUUAGAAGGAACACCAAUAGCGAAGGCAGGUUACUGGGACGGUUCUGACACUAAGGCACGAAAGCGUAGGGAGCAAACGGGAUUAGAUACCCCAGUAGUC